CACGUAGGCGGCCUUGUAAGUCAGGGGUGAAAUCCCACGGCUCAACCGUGGAACUGCCUUUGAAACUGCAGGGCUUGAAUCCUGGAGGGGGUGGCGGAAUUCCUGGUGUAGGAGUGAAAUCCGUAGAUAUCAGGAGGAACACCGGUGGCGAAGGCGGCCACCUGGACAGGUAUUGACGCUGAGGUGCGAAAGUGUGGGGAGCAAACAG
rnacentral:rRNA from 1 species